ACGAACGCUGGCGGCAGGCCUAACACAUGCAAGUCGAGCGAGAAAAUUCCUUCGGGAAUGAGUAAAGCGGCGGACGGGUGCGUACAACAUGGAUAACCUACCCUAAGGUCUGGGAUAACCUCGGGAAACCGAAGCUAAUACCGGAUAAGACCACAUUAUCUGCGGAUGAAGGGGUAAAAGUUUUUCGCCUUUGGAUGGGUCCAUGCUCCAUCAGGUUGUUGGUGAGGUAAAAGCUCACCAAGCCUAAGACGGAUAGCCGGCCUUAGUGGGUGAUCGGCCACACGGGGACUGAGACACGGCCCCGACUCCUACGGGAGGCAGCAGUGGGGAAUAUUGGGCAAUGGGCGCAAGCCUGACCCAGCCAUGCCGCGUGAGGGAUGAAGGCCUUCGGGUCGUAAACCUCUGUCAGGAGGGACGAUGGGACUUCGGUCUUGACGGUACCUCCAGAGGAAGCCCCGGCUAACUCCGUGCCAGCAGCCGCGGUAAUACGGAGGGGGCAAGCGUUGCUCGGAUUUACUGGGCGUAAAGGGUCCGCAGGCGGUUGGGCAAGUUAGAUGUGAAAGCUCAAGGCUUAACCUUGGAAUUGCAUCUAAAACUGCUCGACUAGAGUCCAAGAAGGGGUUGGCGGAAUUCCCGGUGU
rnacentral:rRNA from 1 species